rnacentral:lncRNA from 1 species
UGCACGGCAAAGAGCCGACACAGGCAGCAGAGCCCAUCUCUGCCUUUGAAAGGAAACAAUCGAGCUUUGCAGUGGGCUAGUGCAUCAGGAGGGGAAAAAAUGGGAGAAAAAAAAUGAGGCACAGAGGCAGAGAGACAGAGAGAAAGAAGGUGUUUCUAAAUUCAAGGUCCUGUCUCUGGAAAUUUCAAGCUCUGCCUAUAAGGUUCCUACAAAUCUUUGUUAUUCUGCACAGGAUCCUAUGGGAAAGUGCACAGUGUCCUUUGUACUUUCAAAGGUGCUACAGGACCAAAAACCUCUUUGAACAGGAAUACUGAUUGCCAGCUUCACAGCAUUCCAUGACCCACAGGAAAAGCAGCAGACAACAACCUUGAGUAAACUCAGCAAGUUAAUUAACAGUGCAGAAUCUGGAGCAGAGGCUGUAACACCAACAAACUGACUGCAAUUGGAAACUCUGUACAGUCUGAUGGAUGAAUUGAACCUGAAAAACUGGAGGACAGGAUGGACAACGG